rnacentral:lncRNA from 1 species
AUUCAGUACCAUGUGAAUUCAAUCCUUAGAAUAAUCACAGCUGGUGCAUAGGGAAUAAAUGACCAAAUGACUGAGGGUUUGCAGUGCCAUGCCCUAUCUUGACAUGGGGAUUUCAGCUAUUCAUGGGAUUGUGUUGGGACUCUUCAUCAAUGCGAAGCAGGUCUUGAAACCUUCUGGCUAACAUCCAGGAAAAGACUUGUGGAAAGAUAUGAUAGGAAAAACCGGAUUGCUUGGCAGCUAUUGUCAGCAGGCAUUGUUUUCCUGGUCCAACUUUGUGAGUGCAUGCACAAGGCAUUCUUCCUCCAACGUUUCAUCAAUGAAGAUUUCCAAUACCAGUUAGCUACUAAAGACAAGCUACCAAAGACAAUACUCUUCUCUCUUUCCACUGGAUGCAGGAAUCACCUCUCUUGGAAUGGGGAGAAAUGAGGUGUCUAGUAGGUUACAUAAGGAGCCAAGGUGUUGAGAUGGAGUGGAUUUGCAGCAAGAUCUGCCUAAGGAAGGGUUUGGGUCGCGCCACUGUUCUUAUUUGCUUCUGUGCAUGUUUUUGAUGCAUACUGGCAAAAAGACUUGGAUCUCUCUUUGCAGUCAAAUUUAGAGUUAAUGAUCAAUUCUUGCAGGGUGUUCACUGUAUCCUACUUAAAUUAUCUUCUAAUGUAUGUAACUCAGUGCGUUUACUGAGCCAGUAUAGAUCAUGAUCUUUAUUGAAAACCACUGAGCUCAAUAAAGCUGAAGAAAAGUGUCA